CUUCACACGCACGCCUACCCAUCGAAGCCACCGCAUACCACGCCGCAGGUCGCCACCGCAAGUCACCUCAUGUCGCCGCCGCUCGCCCCUUUCUCUGUAGGUCGCCAACGCAACCCUGGGCCCCAGGAUCGUUCCCUCCUCCCCACCAGGCCCGAGGAGGCGGCCAUGAGGAGCGCGCGGCCGCCGCAAUCCUGGGCAGAUCUAGCCGGGGCCGUCGGCAGCCAUCCCUCCCUCCGGGCGGCCAUGAAGAAUUGAAGCGGCUUGCGCAGAACUAGCGCAUGGACCAUGCGCGCCUCCCGCGCUAGGAGCCACCGGUCCUCGUCAUCUGCUAACAUCCACGAGGAAUCGAUCCAUAUGGCCGUUGACGAGGAUGUGCGAGGUGGGCGAACACAGGGCCCCCCAAAAUUAGGGGGCUUCAAAUCCUGUAUAUGUGUUCUUCAUCGCCAUGGAUCUGAGAAUGCCCGAACUGCUCGUUUUUGUUGGAGAAGAGAGGACAUGAAGAAGAGGGACCUGGGUUGUGGGCCCCUUUGGCCAAGGGGUAAGUGCCUACUGCAGGUCUGGUUCAACCAGCUGGACUUGUGCGACUCAGCCACUUCUUCAGGGAGCCACAAAAAUCCAGUCAGUACACCUGAUCGAAAUACGAGAGGGGAAACCCCUAGAUGGAUGACGUGGUCAUGACUGACGGCCGCACCGAUACGAGCGCCAUCCUUGGUUCCUUUGUGUGUCCUAGGGCGGCGAGGUCCAUGAUCGCGUCCAUGGAGCACUGUAGAAUCAUUGUUGUGCCUCUGCUAUCAUCCGUCGCCAGAACAAGCAGUCAUGUACGUUUCCCUUGCCUGGCGCAUUCCCAUAGUCAAUGUGAGUAUUUUGUUCAUAUUGACAUCACCACAUGGCUAUUUCUAUUUUCCAUGUUCCUCUUUUGUAUGAUUGGGAAUUCCUUCUGUCAUGUUUAUUUGUUGCCCAUCUCAUGGCUGGAAUCAUUCCUAAUUAGAGGCACUUUUCUUGAAUUGGUCAGUACUAGGAGGCACUAACAUGCCAAUUGAGACAAGCAUGGAAAAUAACUUGUACAGUCAAUGCUGUACUAGACCACUACAAUAGAACAGAUGCAUUAUUUUAGUUUAAUUUCCAACGCAACUUGCCCCUAAUAGCUACUCCUAGUUAGAUUUGGAGUAUAUAUGCAGAGUUAGAUUUGAAUGAAACUGGCUACUUCUGUCAAUGUCAGAACUUUAAGUUUUAGGUAUAUAUGUUAUUCCUAAUAUGCUUGCUUCCCCUUAUAAUUUCAGUCAUUUUGGCUACUUAGAUCUUGGUUUAAUUUAUUAUGUGGCAUGUAGUUCAUUUGUUGUUAGCCACAGUCCAUAGAUAAAUAGCGUCCAGUUACCUUAAUUCACGUCUUAAACAUUUUUACUCUAUUUUUUGUUCUUCCUAGUUCCAGCUUCACAUUGCUGGUGUUUCAUGACAUAUUCAUCAGAUCCUGCUUACAUGCCUUAUGAUUAACUUGAUUAGUAUUUCUGCCACUGUCCAACUGAUUCUGAAAGGUAUUGAAUCCAGAUUGAAGAGCAAACUCUAUUUGCAGGUGCCAACAAAGAGGAUUGACAAAUAAGAUAGUAGUCCAAACUUGCAAAAUACUUUUUUCAGAGAUCUAGUCCUAAUAAGACUCCAGGUGCAAGGCUAACUGUUAUUUCUUCAAGUGCGCUCUAACUGUUAUUUCUUCAAGUGCGCUCAUACAAGGUGAACAAGGAAUUCUCAAAUGUUUAAAGCAAUGGAUCCAAAGAUCUAGCUCGACUGGACUCCAGAUCACGGACAGUUAGUCUUGGCCUUAAUUAGGAUAGCUAAAUUACAUUUGAUGGAUAUUUGCUAUGAGAAUUAUGAAUUUUAUGAAUCUAUAUAUUAUACUUAUGGUUUUGAAUAUUGUAAUUGAAUGCCUGUAUUUUUUA